UAAUUAAAACUUUCAACAACGGAUCUCUUGGUUCUGGCAUCGAUGAAGAACGCAGCGAAAUGCGAUAAGUAAUGUGAAUUGCAGAAUUCAGUGAAUCAUCGAAUCUUUGAACGCACAUUGCGCCCGCCGGUAUUCCGGCGGGCAUGCCUGUCCGAGCGUCAUUU
rnacentral:rRNA from 1 species